rnacentral:rRNA from 1 species
AUUGAACGCUGGCGGCAGGCCUAACACAUGCAAGUCGAGCGGAUGAAGGGAGCUUGCUCCUGGAUUCAGCGGCGGACGGGUGAGUAAUGCCUAGGAAUCUGCCUGGUAGUGGGGGAUAACGUCCGGAAACGGGCGCUAAUACCGCACACGUCCUGAGGGAGAAAGUGGGGGAUCUUCGGACCUCACGCUAUCAGAUGAGCCUAGGUCGGAUUAGCUAGUUGGUGGGGUAAAGGCCUACCAAGGCGACGAUCCGUAACUGGUCUGAGAGGAUGAUCAGUCAAACUGGAACUGGGAAACGGUCCAGACUCCUACGGGAGGCAGCAGUGGGGAAUAUUGGACAAUGGGCGAAAGCCUGAUCCAGCCAGGCCGCGUGUGUGAGGAAGGUCUUCGGAUUUUAAAGCACUUUAAGUUGGGAGGAAGGGCAGUAAGUUAGUACCUUGCUGUUUUGACGUUACCAACAGAAUAAGCACCGGCUAACUUCGUG